GACCGAGACGCUAAGACAGAAGAACUACCGCGUCUGAAAAAUGAUUAAUAUGAUAAUUAUUACUUCAAGGAAAUGAUAAAGAAAUGAUCAUAAAUGUUCUUCCUCGAGCUGCGGCACCCCGCUGUAGUCUGUAAUGGACUGGCCUGAGGUCUCACUACAAACAAGCGUCUGCUGGAAGAGAGUAGGUGAGUUGUGUUUAGUCUCUUUGCUAAAGAAAUGAGUCAAAGUUAAAAAGAUGUUUGGUGUCUAGUACUAUGUCUGUGACCCUAUAUGUCCUGUUGAUGAAGUUAGGUGCUGUUCUGAGCAUUAUUUGUGGCUAUAAAGUGGCGUUUUGGUUGAGGGCGUUCAUCUCUGGAGGGUCUAACUCGGUGUUACGGUGGGUUUGACCCUAAAUUAAUUUUACGACAGAAUGUCUCUUUAAAGAUGAGAUCCUCUUAAACUGGUCUGAGCUGCAGAGAAAGUCUCUGUUCUGGACUUUAAAUCGGUUUUCAGGGUUCUGGUUGAUUCUGUUCGUGUGUCGGCGUGUUGCCUUCAAAGAUCGGAUUUUAUCUCCUCUUCUGUGAUUCUGCUCUCUGUGUUUUUGUGAUGCUACAGCGAUCUCUGCCUCUCACACUUCCAUCUCUGUUUUCUGCCUGACUGUCCUCUCCUCCUCCUCUUCCUCUUCCUCUUCUCCUCCUCCUCCUCCUCCUCCUCUCUGACUCACGCUCUGAUCCUGAAGCAGCCUUACAUGGUCACUGACGCUGCAGCAGGAUCUCCCUACGUAACACGUCGACGUGUCUUUGGGCCCGGGCUGCUGCUCCUCAUCCAAUAAACACCACCGUGUUCCCACCGAGCUGCUCGCCUCAACCGUCCAAUCAGGGGGCUCUGAGUGUUUCCACGGUGACGUGACGCAGAGCUGAGAGCGGGGAGGCCUACUCGCUCUCUCCGUGGACGCUGCACAGGAACAGAAAUAACUGUGACACACAUUCCUCCUCCCAAAAUAAAACGUCUAUUUCUGAAAUCCUCUCAGACCUCCAUCCUGCGGAGGGUCAUCAAACACAUCAUGAACGUUUCCACGCUGCUGCCUUCACUUCCCCUCGCCACGGCGCCUCGUUUAUACCCAGGAUAACCCGCUCCAGUGUUUCCUCAGAAUCUUUGUUCCUAAAAACAGAAACACAUUUAAAGUUCCUUUUUCUUCUUGAACUUUUUGCUGAUCUGGAAGUUUUUGACUUUUUUUACUCGCCGAGGUUAAAAAAAGGGCGUCAGGACUCCGGUUCUGGGCCUUUCCUUUUUUAGCUCUGGUUCAGUUUCUGGUGGUUUUGGGUCCACGUAGGAAAAUCCUCAAAGUGUGUUUAUGAUCUAUUCUCAGAGCGCAGACGGACUGAAGAGGCUUUUCUCCGACUCGCAGGAAAAACUUCAAGUUCACACAGUUCAGGGUUUUUUUUUUACAGACCCGGAUUAUUUUCGUCUCAUCGGUAAAAAUAGAAAUAAAGAGUCGAGUCUGAAAGAGCGGAGAGGUUGGUCAUGUUUUCUAGCUAGCUUGUUCACCGAUUGUCGUCGAUAUCGUGCGAAAAAAUAAUGAGAAAGAUGGAGAAGCAGCAGCUGUUAGCGAGCUAGCUUAAUGCUGCGUUCGAGUUAUCUCGUAAGUCAGAAGUCGGAGCUGAAAAUUACGUCACACCCGAGUUCCCAGCAUUUCAGUUACUGAGUCCGAAAAAAGCAAAAAUCGGAGGCGGAACAAGAUGGAUAUGUCUACGCUUGCCUGAAGUAAAAUUCUGUGUUAUACGUUGUUUACAGCUGGGAUAGCUAACAACAACUAACAACAACGGCUAACUGUAGGCGUCCAUCUUGGUUUUUCCGACUUGUUAACUGGAACCCCGUCAACUCAGGUGUAACAUCAUUCCCAACUCCGACAUCCGACAUCAGAGGAAACCGGAACGCAGCGUUAUUUUAGCGCUUGCCUUAUUAAGCCAAAGCGCUAAAAUAACUGUCAUAGAUGUAGCCAUCUUGUUUCCUCUGAUUUUGCUUUUUUCUGACUCGGUAACUGAAACGCUGUGAACUCAGAUGUGACGUCAUUUUCAGCUCCGACUUCCGACUUGCGAGGUAACUUGAACGCAGCGUUAGCAUCCCUCUGAGACAUGAUUAGACUCUUUAUUAACUGAUUUAUUCAUUAUGAACGUAACUCAGACUCAGUUUAACAUUCAGACUUUCUAACUUUUCUUUAACUGGUUUUAUUGAGCUUUAAACCACAGGUUUUAUCUUUCAAAAUAAAAGCUUAAUUUGACAAUUAAAUAAAAAUAUUAAAAUUAAUAAUGAAUUAUUUAUUUCUUAAUCCAGCCUGUUUAACCAAACUGUUUCUGCUCGAGGCUGUAAACCUGUUUUUAGUUUUAACAUGGGUCUCUGUGAGGACAGACUCACUACAGGACACGGUCUCUAGUGGACAGGAGAGGAACUGCAGUUUUUUGGUUUGAUAUCUUAUCCUAACCCCCAAUUUUCACCCCAUCUGGAACCGCCUGUGAGUGUUUUAUUUUGAAAAGAAGCCGGAUGUUUUAUUUUGUGUCUGUGCCCGACUUCCUUUCCAGCACGGGUUAAUCUGUGCUGAAUUUAUCCGCCAUGCUCCGGCGUCCAGAAAAAAUAGAACUCUUGUGAUCAGCAAAGAAGUCGGUGUAAAUUGACACGUUAACUUGAAUGGUUACGAUCAGCUACGAUCGGAGGAUACGACCUUUUAGGAGACGAUCAGGAUGAAGGUGGAAGUGUGGCAGAGAUCAGCUGUUCGGUUCAGUGGAGGUUAAUGGUUCAGGAACGGUUUGUUUGAUAUGUGUCACCUCCUUUCUGCACACGCUCAGAACAGCUCUGGGUGUGUGAGGUGAUUGGCGCAGGUAAAUCCAUUCCUUAUGUGUGUGUGUGUGUGAGAUUAGAGUCAUGUGACCUCUGACGUCACUGACGUCCAUGUGUCUGCGUCUCUGAGUGCUUCUCUGUGUACAGUCGGGGUGUGAACUGUUUGUCUUCGGCUCUCGCUCUCUCACUCUCUGUUGGUGUUUAUAAUUAUGUAACCAUGGCGACCAUCUUUUACCAGCUUUGACACAGCAGCAGUCGGCGCUAAUGAUGAUGAAGAUGUCCAUAAACAGAGACAGACGUCUCUCUUUUUGACGGAUUAUAAUCAUGUCUUCACUGAACGUCUCUGCAGGUCGGCGCUAAACGACCACGAGACGUUUAACAGAAACACAGACGGGGAUUUUGGACUGAAACUGAGUUUUACUGUCUGACACACAAACCUCUUAUUAACAUGUUUGUCGAUUGUUUUGGUACAUAGUGUGUAAUGGUCCAACAGAACCAUUUCAUAAUGCACACGACCAACAAAGGACCGUCAGAGUCCACGGUCUGACACCCGGGUCAGAGUCCAGAGAGUGUCUGAUCGGACACAGGGGGGUUUUGUGGAUCCUCAAAGAAACACUGAGAGUCAAACUGAGCAGAAGAAGAAGAAGAAGAAGAAGAAGAGGGUCAUAGAAGGUCAGACGCCUCUCAGACAAAGAAAUGUGACGGGUCUAAAGUGUGAACAGGCUCCGUCAGAGCGGCCUCGGCGUUGGCGUGGAGACGACGUCCAUGUGGGCUCAGACUUCCUCCCUCCCUGUCAGUUAAUUCUGGUUCUGGUCUCAGUUCUUCUUUGACUCUCCUGCUCUAGUUCAGGGUUCACUGAUUCACAGCCGACAGCAGGGACGCAGCGGCUGCCAAAACAAACAGCCCCGAGCGUCAGCAGAGCGGCGGAGUCCCCGCUACAACAGGAUGUGACAUCAGGAUGUGACAUCACGGUCAGAGGCUGGAGGCUGUUUGUGGAGAGGAGGGUUACACACAAACUCACAGCUGGAGGAACGCCGUGUCCUCCGUCUGAGCGUUUAGAGAAACAUUCAACGCCCCGACAAACAACCGCAGGAGCCAAAAAUAAACGCCGACUACAAAAAUAAACUAAAUAUAAACCCUAACUGAAAAAAUAAACUUAAAAUUAACUCAAACUACAAAAAUAAACUAAAUAUAAACCCUAACUAAAAAAAUAAACUUAAAAUUAACACAAACUACAAAAAUAAACUAAAUAUAAACCCUAACUAAAAAAAUAAACUUAAAAUUAACGCCAACUACAAAAAUAAACUAAAUAUAAACCCUAACUAAAAAAAUAAACUUAAAAUUAACACAAACUACAGAAAUAAACUAAAUAUAAACCCUAACUAAAAAAAUAAACUUAAAAUUAACACAAACUACAAAAAUAAACUAAAUAUAAACCCUAACUAAAAAAUAAACUUAAAAUCAACACCAACUACAGAAAUAAACUAAAUAUAAACCCUAACUAAAAAAAUAAAGUAAAAAUUAACACAAACUACAAAAAUAAGACAAAAAUAAAGUAAAAAUUGACACAAACUACAAAAAUAAACACACAAUACAAAAAUAAACCAAAAAAUAAACCAAAAAAUAAACUAAAAAUAAACUAAAAUUAAACUAAAAAUAAACUAAAAAUAAACCCUAACUAAAAAAAUAAAGUAAAAAAUUAACACCAACUACAAAAAUAAAACAAAAAUAAAGUAAAAAUUAACACAAACUACAAAAAUAAACACACAAUACAAAAAUAAACCAAAAAAUACACUAAAAAUAAACGCAAACUACAAAUAUAAAGUAAAAACAAACACCAACUACUACCAACUAAUAAAAAAGGUCCAACAAACACACAAGACAGGAGGAGAUACCAAAUAAACAUAAAUAUAUAUAAUAAAUAACAUAAAUAUAGAAAAUAUACAAAAUACCACAAAUACAAAAAUACAAAAAUACAAAAAUGAACUAAAAUAUACAAAAAUAUACCAAAAAAUACUCAAAUAUACAAAAAAUUUAAAAAAUAUAUUAAAAUUUACAAAAUAAACCAAAAUAUUAAAAGAAUUACACAACAUACCAAAAUAUACAAAAAUAUACCAAAAAACACCCAAAUAUACAAAAUAAACUAAAUAAACAAAACUAUACAAAAAUAUACCAAAUGUAGAUCCUGUGCAGUAGCGUGGAGUCAAGCAGUGAUCCAGUUCCUGACCCGACCCGGUAACAUAGCGGGUUUUUAGUGAAAGCUAAAACAGGUUAACAGUGUGAGGGUGGGUCUGGGUCUGGAUCAGGGUCACAGGUCUGCUUGGGGAUGAAGACUUCACCACCCGGGAAAACUAAGACUGUGUUUGGAGCUGUGAGAGUGGACGGUCAUCGAUGGAGACAGAGUUUAUAUGUAAACAAACUAAAAACACACGUAGUGAACCUUUAACUCAAAGUUUAAACUCACUCUGAGGUAAACCCUCAAACUCAGACCCGGACCUU